CAAGAUAAUAACUUAGGUCUCUGUUCCUCUUCGUGCUCUCAAGUUGCAGAUAAGUUUCACUUUCAAUCAAUGUUGCCCAUAUCUUUACUUCUUUUUCCUUCGUUUUUUCCUAGGUUUGUUUUAGGUUGUCUGCAUUCUUCUUAGAUCUCCUUCUCUUUUCUCUUUUUUUUUUUUCCCUUUUGUAUUCUUUUGGUAAUUGUGAAUCUCAAUGGUUUGUGCAGGUUCUCUUUUCCUUUAUAUUCUUUUGGAUAAUUGUGAAGCUCAAUGAUUUUUGCAGAUUAUCUGAACAUGAAAGAAAGGUUUAAUAUCAAUGCGAUUAUUUUGAAAAUAGAAGAGUGGACCUGCAGAGUUCAAGUAGUUGAUAAUGGCAGAUUUAGGGAUAACAAAGAAGGAAAACCAAGUCUACGGCAUUAUAUUCAAUGCUGAAAUAACACAUUAUGAAGAUCUGCUUCAUUCUUUCCGCACUUACUUGGUGUUUGUUGCACAAGUUAGGAAUCAGAUUAUAUGCAUGGAAAUCCAGUUAAGAAAUUCACUUGGACAAUUGAUAGGAGCACGUUCGCUGAGCCAAUAAAAACGAUCAAUAUGGUCGUCGACGGGACUAACUCUUGCACCAUUUGACAGUUUCAAGUAUCAACUCAAGGGAUCCAAAUUUGAUAAUUGAAGGUUAUAUGAUGACCCAAGAGGUCAUCACUUGUGUUUAACUGAAUUUUGUGUCUCCGAGGCAUAGAAAACUUUAUUUUAUAGUCAAAA